UACACUGACCGGCUACUACUGGACAGCGCUACAACCCUACAGACUUGUCACCAAGUCCUAAGUGAAAGCUUGACGCACUGCACUUUGAGAAAUGCAGUGUUUAGGACUAGAUGGACACCAUGUUCAGAUACAUGUAACUCACAUAAGCCCUUACUUUAUAAAAAUCAAUGAAUAGGAGAAUUUCUUGACUAACUCAAAUUCUGUAAUUGUAUGCAAUAACAGUUGGCAUAGCUUGGAACACAAACGCAUCCAUAACUGCCAACUCAAAUCCAUUUAUUUUCAACCAAACAUCUGUUUUGUUUGCCCGUGAGUUCAGAACAUCUCACAGGAAGUCCUGAUGACUCACUUUACUGGAACACCUCAGAUGUCAUUUCCCCCUCGACAGGUUUGAUUUAAUCUAUUUCUGUCCAUGUUGCUAGGAGGUUAUGAAGACACACAGGAAACUAAUUACACACAGGGAACUGUGGCAUCAUCACACAGCCAGGGAGCUAUAGACGGCCAG
rnacentral:lncRNA from 1 species